AUGCAGUCGACGGAACGACAGGAGCUUGCUCCUGGGCGUCGAGUGGCGGACGGGUGAGUAAUGCAUAGGAAUCUGCCCAUGUAGUGGGGGACAACCUGGGGAAACUCAGGCUAAUACCGCAUGAGCCCUUCGGGGGAAAGCAGGGGAUCUUCGGACCUUGCGCUAUUGGAUGAGCCUAUGUCUGAUUAGCUUGUUGGUGGGGUAACGGCCUACCAAGGCGACGAUCAGUAGCUGGUCUGAGAGGACGAUCAGCCACACUGGGACUGAGACACGGCCCAGACUCCUACGGGAGGCAGCAGUGGGGAAUAUUGGACAAUGGGCGCAAGCCUGAUCCAGCAAUGCCGCGUGUGUGAAGAAGGCCUGCGGGUUGUAAAGCACUUUCAGUGGGGAGGAAAAGCUCAAGGUUAAUAACCUUGGGUCUUGACGUUAUCCACAGAAGAAGCACCGGCUAACUCUGUGCCAGCAGCCGCGGUAAUA
rnacentral:rRNA from 1 species